rnacentral:rRNA from 1 species
AGAGUUUGAUCCUGGCUCAGAUUGAACGCUGGCGGCAUGCCUUACACAUGCAAGUCGAACGGCAGCACGGGCUUCGGCCUGGUGGCGAGUGGCGAACGGGUGAGUAAUACAUCGGAACGUGUCCUGGAGUGGGGGAUAGCCCGGCGAAAGCCGGAUUAAUACCGCAUACGCUCUGUGGAGGAAAGCGGGGGAUCUUUCGG